GCUGGGGAAGGUUUUCCGGUUUAUCUCGGAGGGCUUGUAGCUCAGUUGGUUAGAGCGCGCGCUUGAUAAGCGUGAGGUCGGAGGUUCAAGUCCUCCCAGGCCCACCAAUUUAUCUAUCCAUUUGCCUUUAUCCGUUUAUUUGCUGUUUUAUCGGUCCGUUUGUUAAGUGUUGGCAACAGUUUUUGUAAUGAUGAAAAACAGUCCUGCUUAUAUAAAGACCUACUUAUAAAAGGCUUGUUUUUAACAUGUGACGCUUAUUCAUUCCGCUUAAGCAAGAGAAACUUCAGGCGGUUCAAACGCAAAACACUUUGAAUUUUGUAAAACAAUUUGCGUUUUGAAGUGAUUCAAGUUCGUGAUUUCAACUUUAAAAGUUUCUAAUGCUUUAUCCUUUUUUAGGGGCCGUAGCUCAGCUGGGAGAGCACCUGCUUUGCAAGCAGGGGGUCGUUCGGUUCAGGGGGUCGUCGGUUCA
rnacentral:misc_RNA from 1 species